CCUACGGGAGGCAGCAGUAGGGAAUCUUUCACAAUGGGCGAAAGCCUGAUGGAGCAACGCCGCGUGAAGGAUGAAGGCCUUCGGGUUGAAAACUGCUUUUAUAAGCGAGAUAUAUGAUUGCAAAUUAUGAAUAAGGAUCGGCUAACUACGUGCCAGCAGCGCCGGUCAUAUGUAGGCUCCGAGCAUUAUCCGGAGUGACUGAGUGUAAAGAGUUGCGUAGGUGGCAUAAUAAGUAGCUAGUGAAAUCUGAUGGCUCAACCAUUCAGACUAUUAGCUAAACUGUUAAGCUCGAGACCGUUAGGGGUGACUGGAAUUUCUAGUGUAGGAGUGAAAUCCGUAGAUAUUAGAAAGAACACCGAUAGCGUAGGCAGGUUACUGGGACGGUUCUGACACUAAGGCACGAAAGCGUAGGGAGCAAACGGGAUUAGAUACCCCAGUAGUC
rnacentral:rRNA from 1 species